AUUGAACGCUGGCGGCAGGCCUAACACAUGCAAGUCGAACGAGUGGCGGACGGGUGAGUAAUGUCUGGGAAACUGCCUGAUGGAGGGGGAUAACUACUGGAAACGGUAGCUAAUACCGCAUACCAUCAGAUGUGCCCAGAUGGGAUUAGCUAGUUGGUGGGGUAACGGCUCACCAAGGCGACGAUCCCUAGCUGGUAUGAGAGGAUGAACAGCCACACUGGAACUGAGACACGGUCCAGACUCCUACGGGAGGCAGCAGUGGGGAAGAUUGCACAAUGGGCGAAAGCCUGAUGCAGCCAUGCCGCGUGUGUGAAGAAGGCCUUCGGGUUGUAAAGUACUUUCAGCGGGGAGGCGUUACCCGCCCAGGAAGCACCGGCUAACGCCGUGCCAGCAGCCGCGGUAAUUC
rnacentral:rRNA from 1 species